ensembl:snoRNA
UACACUUGCGUGCAUCUUUGUUCAGCUGAUAGGCAAAGGAAUGAAAGACGGGUGCAAGAAAACCAAUCUUCUUUUGCAACCCAGGGCUCAUUGUUUAGUGUAGUUUUGAAACGUAGAAGAAAGGGUAUG